rnacentral:rRNA from 1 species
UGAACGCUGGCGGCGUGCUUAACACAUGCAAGUCGAACGGUAACAGCGGAGCUUGCUCCGGCUGACGAGUGGCGCACGGGUGAGUAAUGUAUAGAUAACGUGCCCCGGAGAGUGGGAUAACGUCUGGAAACGGACGCUAAUACUGCAUAUUGCUUUUCUUCACAAGGAGAAAAGUGAAAUGAAUUUCGCUCCGGGAUCGGUCUGUAUGGUAUCAGCUAGUUGGUGAGGUAAUGGCUCACCAAGGCAAUGACACCUAGCUGGUCUGAGAGGAUGAUCAGCCACACUGGAACUGAGACACGGUCCAGACUCCUACGGGAGGCAGCAGUGGGGAAUAUUGCACAAUGGGGGAAACCCUGAUGCAGCAACGCCGCGUGGAGGAUGACACAUUUCGGUGCGUAAACUCCUUUUAUAAGAGAAGAUAAUGACGGUAUCUUAUGAAUAAGCACCGGCUAACUCC